UCUAAUAUGGCAGAUAAAUGUAAUGAAUUUAAGAUUCAUAAAUAAAAUUUUUAAUUUUUUUUAGAA
rnacentral:tRNA from 1 species